rnacentral:lncRNA from 1 species
CUGUUAGAUCAUGGCAGCUCUCUUUCGAGCCACGUGGUUAUGGUGGGAAGAAGGAACAUCUCCCAGAAGAAGGUUGACUAUUACCCUCAGCAGACAAAAGAGUCAAUGUCUGCCACAUCCCUGCUCCAGCGAUCUCCAGCUACCUGGGUGCGUUUCUCUUCUACAACUCUCUUUUUGGGGAUGUCGCCAAUAAUCUAUAUUUCAACAAGAUGGAUAAAGCUGUGAAAAGGAUCAGAUUCUGCCCAGGACUUCAAGUAUGUGACCUCAGCAGAACUGACCAAUACAUUACUGGAGCAGAAUAAUCAGUCUUGAAAUAAACCCAUGGAUAAAGGAUGGAUUGUCCAAUAAAUGACAUUACGACAAUUAGGUAAGCAUUUGGGAAAACAAAUGAAGUUUUGUUAUACCAUAUAUGUUAUGGAUUGAAUCGUGUCCUCCCAAAAGAUACGCUGAAGUUCUAACCCCUGGUACCAGUGCACGUGGCCUUUUUGGAAAUAGGGUCUCUGCAGUCGUAAUCAAGUUAAGAUGAGGUCUUUAGGAGGGCCCUAAUCCAAUAUGACUGACAUCUUUAUAAGAAGAGGAAAAGAGACACACACACACAAAGAGGAUGCCGUGUGAAGACAGAGGGGCCGAGGCUCAAGUGAUUCUUCUAUAAGCCAAAGAUUGCUGGUGACAUCAAAGUGAAGAGAAAGCGGUGGAACAGAUAGACGCUCCCUUGGAGCCCUUCAAGAAAGCACAGCCCUGCUGCCUCCUUGCAAACAGAACCAUGAAAGAAUACAUUUCUGCUGUUUU